UGACCGCGUAUGAAAGUACGUUUUCACCCUCGGGUGACAGGGAGACAGGUGGUGCAUGGUUGUCGUCAGCUCGUGUCGUGAGAUGUUGGGUUAAAGUCCCGCAACGAGCGCAACCCCUACGUUUAGUUGCUAACGCGUGAAGGCGAGCACUCUAGACGAACUGCCGUUGACAAAACGGAGGAAGGUGGGAUGACGUCAAAUCAUCAUGCCCCUUAUGUUCUGGGCUACACACGUGCUACAAUGGCCGGUACAGACGGACGCAAAGCCGCGAGGUGGAGCAAAUCCUAAAAAGCCGGUCUCAGUUCGGAUUGCAGGCUGCAACUCGCCUGCAUGAAGUCGGAAUCGCUAGUAAUCGCAGGUCAGCAUACUGCGGUGAAUACGUUCCCGGGCCUU
rnacentral:rRNA from 1 species